GACGAACGCUGGCGGCGUGCUUAACACAUGCAAGUCGAACGGAAAGGCCUGCUUGCAGGGUACUCGAGUGGCGAACGGGUGGGUAACACGUGGGUGAUCUGCCCUGCACUUCGGGAUAAGCCGGGGAAACUGGGUCUAAUACCGGAUAGGAGCAAUUUUUAGUGUGAUGGUUGGAAAGUAUUUUCGGUGUAGGAUGAGCUCGCGGCGUAUCAGCUUGUUGGUGGGGUAAUGGCCUACCAAGGCGGCGACGGGUAGCCGGCCUGUGGGGGUGGACGGCCACAUUGGGACUGAGAUACGGCCCAGACUCCUACGGGAGGCAGCAGUGGGGAAUAUUGCACAAUGGGCGCCAGCCUGGUGCAGCGACGCCGCGUGGGGGAUGACGGCCUUCUGGUUGUAAACUCCUUUCGCUAGGGACGAAGCUUUUUGUGACGGUACCUAGAUAAGAAGCACCGGCUAACUACGUG
rnacentral:rRNA from 1 species